UAGGGAAUCUUGCGCAAUGGGCGAAAGCCUGACGCAGCAACGCCGCGUGGGGGAUGAAGGCCUUCGGGUUGUAAACUCCUUUUAGUGGGAACGAAAUUGACGGUACCCACAGAAAAAGCCCCGGCUAACUACGUGCCAGCAGCCGCGGUGAUACGUAGGGGGCGAGCGUUGUCCGGAUUUACUGGGCGUAAGGAGCUCGUAGGCGGUUUAGUAAGUCGGGUGUGAAACCUCUAGGCUUAACCUAGAGACGCCACUCGAAACUACUAUGACUAGAGUCUGGUAGGGGACCAUGGAAUUCCUGGUGUAGCGGUGAAAUGCGCAGAUAUCAGGAGGAACACCAGUAGCGAAGGCGGUGGUCUGGGCCAGUACUGACGCUGAGGAGCGAAAGCGUGGGGAGCGAACAGGAUUAGAUACCCUGGUAGUCCACGCCGUAAACGGUGGGCACUAGGUGUGGGACCCUAUCGACGGGUUCCGUGCCGCAGCUAACGCAUUAAGUGCCCCGCCUGGGGAGUACGGCCGCAAGGCUA
rnacentral:rRNA from 1 species